GACGAACGCUGGCGGCGUGCUUAACACAUGCAAGUCGAACGGAAAGGCUCCACCUUGCCGGAGUACUCGAGUGGCGAACGGGUGUGUAACAUGUGGGUAAUCUGCCCUGUACUCUGGGAUAACCCUGGGCAACUGCGUCUAAUACUGGAGUUGACCUUUCUCCUUUUGGGGUUUUGUGGAACGUUCUUCGGUGUAUGAUGAUCCCGCGGCCUAUCAGCUUGUUGGUGGGGUGAUGGCCUACCACGGCGACGCAGGGUAGCCGACCUUAGAGGGUGAUCAGCGUCAAUGGGACUGAGAGACGGACCAGUCUGGUACGGGAGGCAGCGGUGGGGAGUAUUAUACAGUGGGCGGGAGCGUGAUGCGACGAUGCCGCGUGAGUGAUGAAGGCCUUCGGGUUGGGAAGCUCUGUCAGCUAAGACGAAGCGUUAGUGACGGUACCAGCAGAAGAAGCACCGGCUAACUACGUG
rnacentral:rRNA from 1 species